AAGUCGUAACAAGGUCUCCUUCCGUUGGUAAUGCCUAGGAAGCCUUAGCAGCCCGAAAGGGUACGCUCCGCGACUUGAAUAAACAAUGGAGAUUUUAAUUGCUAGUCAGCCGCCGCGCUGGCUACACUACCAAAUUGCGGGAAGCUCCUAAAGCUCUCAGCUACCAAGCAGUGUCGGGAAACCGCGCUGUGGCCAGGGUAAUGACCUCGGGUAUGGUAAUAACGCUGGAGAUGUACCAAUGGAUAAUCCGCAGCCAAGUCCUAAGCCUGGGUCACCAGGGAUGGAUGCUGUUCACAGACUAAAUGGUGGUGGGUGGACUUUCGGUCCGCUUAAGAUAUAGUCGGUCUCCCGGGGAAACCGGGGAGAGAGUCAUUACUCCCCAAGUUCCGUAGGUGAACCUGCGGAAGGAUCAUUAAAGAGUUAGGGGUCUUCUAGGCCCGACCUCCCAACCCUAUGUUUAUUGAACCUCUGUUGCUUCGGCGGACCCGUCUCACGGCCGCCGGAGGACCGCUGAAAGGCGUCCUCUGGCCAGCGUCCGUCGAUAGCCAACCCCAAAACUCUGAAUAAUCAUGUCAUAUGUCUAAGUUUUAUGAUUAAAUAAAGCAAA
rnacentral:misc_RNA from 1 species